rnacentral:rRNA from 1 species
AGUGAACGCUGGCGGUAGGCCUAACACAUGCAAGUCGAACGGCAGCACAGUAAGAGCUUGCUCUUACGGGUGGCGAGUGGCGGACGGGUGAGGAAUACAUCGGAAUCUACUUUUUCGUGGGGGAUAACGUAGGGAAACUUACGCUAAUACCGCAUACGACCUACGGGUGAAAGCAGGGGAUCUUCGGACCUUGCGCGAUUGAAUGAGCCGAUGUCGGAUUAGCUAGUUGGCGGGGUAAAGGCCCACCAAGGCGACGAUCCGUAGCUGGUCUGAGAGGAUGGACAACCAACAUGGGAACUGAGACACGGUCAGAACUCCGAGGGGGGGGACAGGGGGGGAUUAUGGAAAAAGGGGGCCAGGCUGGACCCACCCAUACCGGGGGGGGAAAAAAGGCUUUGGGUUUUAAAGCCCUUUUUGUGGAAAAAAAAAAGCAGAGGUUAAACCCCCCCUUGUUCGGGGGGACCCAAAAAAAAAAGCCCGGGCAACUUCGGCC